GGGUCGAACUGAGAACACAUG
rnacentral:miRNA from 1 species